UAUAUGUAUGUACGUAUAUAUACAUAUACAUGAACAAAACUAAACUACAAACCCGCAAGUCCCCACUGAAAACGAGGUGGGGGAGGAGGGGGCGGGAACGGUCAAGGCGCAGACAUUGAGGGAUGCGAAACGAACUCUGUGCCCUGCACAGUCGGUGCCUUCGGGGGCUCCACCGCUGCGUGCUCCCACCCGAAAGGCCUGCAAGACACACCAAAAGACUCCUCCAAGUCGUGUAAGGGAGAAAACGAAACACUCCACUGGCCUCUAUCAGGGGAAGUUAAUUUUUCCCCUUUUCUGCACAUUUUCCAAACUCUAUAACUCUAAUUUGCAGUACAGAAAAUAAGCUUUUAUAUUUAUUAUUUU
rnacentral:lncRNA from 1 species